rnacentral:rRNA from 1 species
CCCUUAGAUGUUCUGGGCCGCACGCGUGCUACACUGAGUAAUUCAAUGGGUAAGGGAACGCUAGAGCAUUACCUAAUCUUGAAAUUUGCUCGUGAUGGGGAUCGACGGUUGCAAUUUUCCGUCGUGAACGAGGAAUACCUUGUAGGCGCAUAUCAUCAUCAUGCGCCGAAUACGUCCCUGCCCUUUGUACACACCGCCCGUCGCUCCUACCGAUUGAGUGAUCCGGUGAGGCUCUGGGACCUGGACGGAAAGAGCGUUUCGCUUGUUCUGUUUGGGAAACUUGGUCGAACCUUAUCAUUUAGAGGAAGGAGAAGUCGUAACA